GACGAAGGGGGCUAGCGUUGUUCGGAAUUACUGGGCGUAAAGCGCGUGUAGGCGGUUGGCCAAGUCGGGUGUGAAAGCCUUGAGCUCAACUCAAGAAAUGCACUCGGUACUGGGUGACUAGAGGACCGGAGAGGAUAGUGGAAUUCCCAGUGUAGUGGUGAAAUACGUAGAGAUUGGGAAGAACACCAGUGGCGAAGGCGGCACCCUGGACCAUAACUGACGCUGAGGCGCGAAAGCUAGGGGAGCAAACGGG
rnacentral:rRNA from 1 species